rnacentral:lncRNA from 1 species
UGCAGAUGGUACGAGGAGUGGCUGGCAGUAGAAGGGUUAAAUAUUGACAGAUUUACAAAUUGUUUUUCUUUUGUUCUAGGGUCUCUGAGAAUAUUGUGGAGUAGCAAGACAAUAAUUGCAGUGUAUGACAUUACUGUGAGCAAAUGAUAAUAUGGCAGACAAACUGUCUUUGCAGGAUCAUGCCAAGAUUGCUUCAUAGUUUGAAAGGUAGAUAUCUGUCAUCCUUGUGCAGGAAUGGUGGCAAAGCAUUCACAGGCAAUAUACUAAACUUCAUCCAUACAUUAUCCAAAAAUUGUCACAAAAAAUUAAUGGCAGCUGGAUCAAUUACAGAUGCAAUUGAUCUGGUUGCCAUUAAUUUUUUUGUAGCAUAUUAGUUAAAUCAACAUGCCAAAUUUAUUCUC